GUAGUUACCAUUCAGACAUCAAACGCUAAUCAUUUUGAACUUAAAAUUGCUGUUCUGCCUUGAGCCAUCGUUGUUACGUAGACGACACGCUGACACUUGCAAUUGCAAACACACUACGAACAAUUUUAUUAAUUGUCGUUCCGAAACAUUACUGAUUGUGUUUGCGUUAAUCAGUCGAAAAAGAGUAACGCUUGGAAAUUUACCGAUGCUGGACAUUUUGGAUGAACACUGGAAUCCCAGUUCUCAAUAGCGGGCUUGAUACAUACAUUUAGUUGGUGCAACGAUGAUCGUGAAGUGCUGAGUGCAGUGUGUGUACAAAGGGAGAGCUCGUGCAAUCAGCGUUCCACCCACCGGAAAUCGUCGACAUGGAGAUCAGCCGUACUCGGACAUCACUAUUUUGCCGGUCGUUAGAGAUCGACUUGAACAAGUGCAUCAUCACCACAAUGUCAGAGAAAUGUCUUGAAAAUUCAGUUUUAGUAAUACUUCUACGUCUAUUACGUAUUCGCCGGGACGAAUUACCGUACGAUGUAUCAUUUUUAUAUUUAGUUUUAAAAGUUGCAGUUUAAUCGCUUUUUUUAUUUUAGCAGUUUAACAGUGAGUUCCUUUCUGUCGGAAAUCACAUUCGCACUGCGUACAGCAUUGUCGUUUUCGUCUUUUAUUGGGUUUUCCGGCAUAUGCCAUAUUUUAUUGCGUGCCAGAGGGAUACCAUACCAGGUUUUAUCCCUUGCCAUGCCAGUGGCAACGCCAGAGGCACUUGCCAGUGCCAGGUUUUACACCCUGCCUGAUUAGACUGGUGCGGAGCGCAAACGCGUUCAGGUACCAAAUGGUAGCAAAACCAGCGAAACCUGGCGAUUAGCGAGGCCGAACGUAACGUAAUAGGCUGCCUACUUAUGACGAUAUCCUGGUCUUUCCAUUUUUCGGACUCCAAUAUCCUCGUUCAAACGCGCCAUAAUACGUAUAGGAUCCGUAUUAUUAGAGGGACAAUGCCCGCCAAUUUAUAUUAACAGAUACAUACCGGUAAAAAAAAGCGGAAACUUGAAGGUUUUUUCUCGGUGGAUGGUGCAUUGCUGCGUACGGAAUCGUAGACCGCAUUGCGCUGUCGUGUGCCUUCCGUUUGGAGCCUGUACAACACUUCCUUCUUCAGUGUGUCCAGAUUCCGCUGUUCGGCGAGGCUUAGAUAUUUAGCCGCAUUCUCCGAAGUGAUAUUGUUCACCAGCAUUGAUUCACAAAAGGAGCGCAGAUCCGCAACCGCAUAUUUAUCCGCCAUAAUCAAAAUCUUUUCCGCGUUAUCGCGAUUGACAUUUCCCAGUUCGCAUCCGUAGACAUAGUCGCGCAGAAUGGUGACGCUUUCUCCAUCGAUAUCGUCCAUUUCGCAGGACGCAUGCUGCUUUUCUUUGGUGCUAUGCGUGAGCAUGGCGGCGAAGACCGGUGAAUGGGCCAUCAGCAGGCAGCGAUGAACAGGGAAAUUUUGGCCGUCGCUGGAACGAAUAAAGAAGUCCGCAGAAUGCUGAGCAACGUUUCGUGCAAGCACCCCGGCAAGCCGCUGGCAGAACUGCUGCCGAAAAAUCUCUUGGUCUGGCUGUAUCGUGCACAUGCGAAAGGUUUCGGAUUUUAUUUCAACGGUGACAUCCAUGAUUACAGUUAUAGAGUCAUCCUGCACUUUCUCCCGUAGCGCCGUAUGGCUAAUAACGCUAUGGCCACCCCAAGAAGAAUUGUCACUGCAGAAGAUUUGUGUGUACUGUAUAUGCCGGUUUUAGGGACAAUUUCCGCCAUCGAUCGUCCCGUGCACACGCUAAAGAUGGCGAAGAAACGAUUUAUAUGGAAAUAUCUUUAUAUUAAAGAUUAAUAAAUCUCGCAACGUAAAACCACCUUCAAGCCCGCAACGCACCUUCAUCGACAUCCUGCGAGGAAGUUUGCCGGUCCUGUGUAGGACUUGGAAUCAGUAUUUGUAUCCGUAAAGUACAGAUAAACGGCCACGGUGUGCUUCUGGUCGCUUGAAUCGUUGGGGUCCACACGGCAGUGUUGAACGCCCAUACGCCACCGUCCGUUACAGUUUUUAACUCCCAGUUAAUUCCUCCAUGGUAAUACCGGCAUUAUACGCCAUUCUCUUAUCAUAGCGGUGAAGCGAAACGCCUUUCAUAGUCCAGCGCAACGUGAACUUGACCUGUUCGUAAUCAGUGUGCUCGCGCACAACGAUUUGGGAUUCGGAGCGCGCCAUAAUAAUAGAGAACUUUUAAAGUGCCGAAAAUGUGAUGAACGUCUAGAAGUAUAAGGAAGGAACUUUUAAGGAACUGUCAAGUCAGGUAUAACUCUGGAUGUGCAUACAUAAAAUAUUUGUGCACGGCGAGCUUAAGAUUAAUCGGUGCAUUUUACAUACAAGAAGCUCCCGGAUUUGAAGUUGGCUCAUUUAUCUACUGCGAAGUGCUGUUGCAAAUCCUAGCUGUCUGACCUCUGCCAAACACAUUGCAAAGAUCCCUGUUGCACAACCUUCGCAUGACAACAGACAGCGAAUAACACUCGAAAACA